CCGGCGACCGGCGGACGGGUGCGUAACGCGUAUGUAACCUAUCUUUGACAGGGGGAUAACAUCGAGAAAUUGGUACUAAUACCCCAUAACAUCACCGGAGGCAUCUUCGGUGGUUGAAAACUCAGGUGGUCAGAGAUGGACAUGCGUUGUAUUAGCUAGUUGGUGAGGUAACGGCUCACCAAGGCGACGAUACAUAGGGGGACUGAGAGGUCAACCCCCCACAUUGGUACUAAGACACGGACCAAACUCCUACGGAAGGCAGCAG
rnacentral:rRNA from 1 species